rnacentral:rRNA from 1 species
CCACGCCGUAAACGAUGGGUACUAGGUGUUGGGUGUUUCGAUACACUCGGUGCCGCAGUAAACACAAUAAGUACCCCGCCUGGGGAGUACGGUCGCAAGACUGAAACUCAAAGGAAUUGACGGGGGCCCGCACAAGCGGUGGAGCAUGUGGUUUAAUUCGACGCAACGCGAAGAACCUUACCAAGACUUGACAUCCUGCUGACAGUAGAAUGUAAUGUUUUAUUUCCCUCGGGACAGCAGAGACAGGUGGUGCAUGGUUGU